rnacentral:lncRNA from 1 species
UAUGUUGCAAGAAGUUCUGGGGAACAAAAUGGAAAAAAUGAGGAAAAAGAAAGAAAGAAGGAAGAAAAUAAAAAGGAAUGAAAAAGAAAAAAAAUAAUAUGAAGAAAAAGAAUAAAAUGCUCCUCAGUUCUUUUGAGCCUCAUUAAAGUUCCCAAUGCUCUCAAGAUUGAUCCAUACUCAUUUUCCAACCAUAUGCAACCUGAUUACGAGAACUUUAUUUGUGUCUCACGAUCACCCUUUGCCCUUGCACAUGUCCAACUAUCUAAAUGUGUG